rnacentral:rRNA from 1 species
CCUACGGGUGGCAGCAGUGGGGAAUAUUGCACAAUGGGGGGAACCUUGAUGCAGCAACGCCGCGUGGGUGAAGAAGUACUUCGGUACGUAAAGCUCUGUCAGCAGGGAAGAAAAUGACGGUACUUGUCGAAUAAGCCACGGCUAACUACGUCCCAGCAGCCGCGGUAAUACGUCGGUGGCAAGCGUUGUCCGGAUUUACUGGGUGUAAAGGGCGUGUAGCCGGGCUGACAAGUCAGAUGUGAAAUCCGGGGGCUCAACCCCCGAACUGCAUUUGAAACUGUUGGUCUUGAGUAUCGGAGAGGCAGGCGGAAUUCCUAGUGUAGCGGUGAAAUGCGUAGAUAUUAGGAGGAACACCAGUGGCGAAGGCGGCCUGCUGGACGACAACUGACGGUGAGGCGCGAAAGCGUGGGGAGCAAACAGGAUUAGAUACCCUAGUAGUC